rnacentral:lncRNA from 1 species
CUCGAUUUAAGCCUUCCAUGUGGGCCGGGCCACUGUGGCUGAUAAAAAUGCUUGGAGUGGUGGGUGGUUUCUGCAGCACUGCAGCCCCCUGCUACUGAAACUGUGCUGUUUGUGCCUGCCGUGCAGCUAUUUUGAAGUUUUCCUCUGCAAAACCGGUGCACAGACAGACCAGCGGAAAGCUGAGGCUAUCACAUUUACCUGUAUGUUAUCUGAGGAGACAUAACGUCUGUCACCUGUCUAAGAGUGAACCUCAGGAAACAAAGAUCAUGCCUUCAAAAGAGGAACCUGAUCAAUAUAUGCAUUGUGGUUACAAGAAAGAAGCUGCUUGAUUUUUAUGGAACUUGGUAGACAUCUUCUAAAAUUGCAGCACUCGAGGAUGCCUCCAAUUUCUAAACUCAAAUAUGUGCACUGAAGUGCUGUUUUGAUAGGUUACAAAGAGAGAUCUCUUCAGUUUCUCUGCAUAUGACGUUUUUAUCUGAGGCCUCAUGAAGACGCAUGCCUGGAUCAAAAUUAGGAUAAAUUAACUUUAAAGAGAAAUAUGUAUUAAAAUAUAUUAUGUUAACACAUUUACUAAUAUUUGCUGAACUUUUACACUGCAUAUUAACAUCCUCCUGCAAGAUGCUAUGCAUUUAAAAUGUGUUUUGUUUUGGAAAAUAAAAAUAUGCCUGUUUUCCUGGUUAAGUUUGGA